CUUCUCUUUAUACAACCCAAAGGACUCCAAUAAUUUUUCUUGGACUCACAGACUAGGAAAAUGAGUUCUAGGGAUAGAAAACAAGAAUGAAGUUUUCAUAUGGGCAUUAUUACAUUACAGAAAGUUCAUUGAAAAACUUGUCCACAGAACACUUUCAUCACUAGCAAUAAUCAAGAUUUUGUGCCUGUACUUCUUGAUAUCAAUGAAAAUGGAAAGAGGAAGAGAAUCUGCCUUCUGCAUUAUCACAUUUCUUUGCUGUUGGAGCACUGUAAUUGGUUUGCUCUCUCCGAAAGGCAUAAACUUUGAAGGUAAAACUGAUUCCCGCAUUUUAUACUAUCUUAUUAACUUCUGAAAAUCUGAGAACAUCCCAAAUGAAUAUUCUGCCAUAGCUGGUAUUCAAGAAUCGGUCCAUGAGAUAUUGGUAUUUUUGUAUUCAGUGCAAGCUUUAAUGGGCAUAAGAGCUGGUUUGAAGGAUCCUCGUGGGGUUCUUGAUAACUGGGAUGGGGAUGCUGUUGAUCCAUGUAGCUGGACUAUGGUCACUUGUUCUUCUGAGAGUCUUGUUAUUGGCCUGUAAGCGUUCUGCCUAAGCAAAACCUUUUCUUUUUAUACUGUAAUAUGUUAUACAGAAGCCCUCAAAUCAGGUUUUAGAGAAAAAAAAAAUUACAAAGGAGGCUUAUGGAGUUAAUAGAUUAUGUUGUGCACUGUGCAGAGGAUCUCCUAGUCAAAGUUUAUCUGGAAUUCUUUCUCCAAGCAUAGGAAAUUUGACAAAUCUUCAAAUUAUGUAAGUAGAAAGUGUAGAUAAAUUGUUAAGGGGUUUCGUAAUUUGUUUUUUCCCCUUAUGUAACUUGUAUGAGAUUUUGGCAGACUUUUGCAGAACAAUAACAUUACAGGAUCAAUCCCAACAGAGCUAGGAAGGCUCUCAAAGCUUAAAACACUUGAUCUUUCGAAUAAUUUCUUGAUCGGUAGAAUUCCUCCUUGUUUUGUCCAACUGAACAGUCUCCAAUACAUGUAAGGACUGUCUUUGUGCUGCAGAAUCGGGGACUUGGAAUUGGAUAUUUCAUUGAAAAUCAGUUUAUAUUCCUCGCUAUUGAACUUGGCUAUAUUCCUAUGUUGGUCUCACAUGGGUAUUUUCAAUGCAUUAGGAGGCUCAACAAUAACAGUCUAUCUGGAGAGAUUCCGAUGGCAUUAGCCAACAUGACACAACUUUCUAAUGUGUAAUUCUCUUUUACCUCUUAAUCAACUACCGACAUUCUUCGUACAAAUAAUAUAUUGAAAUUUGUUGUGUUUGCUUUAUUCAGAGAUUUGUCGUACAAUAACUUGAGUGGCCCUGUACCUCAUUUUCCUUAUAAGACUUUCAAGUAAGCUACUUCCCAAAUCUAGAUGUGUUUCCUAAAGAAAAUUAAGAUUGCUGAGAACUUUUUUUGUUUAAAUUUCAUUGCAGCAUUGUUGGAAAUCCUUCAAUAUGUGCUGCAGGGUCAGAGCCCGAGUGUGCAGGAAUAACAUUGAUGCCUAUGUCUAUGCCCUUGAACACUUCAGGAAGUAUGGAAUAACCUCAAAUGAUUUUUACUAAGGGAGUGUUUGAUAGCAUGAAAAUGGCAAAAAAAAAGAUGGAAUUAGAAUUGGAAACUUGGAAUUUUCCUUGUUUUAGUGGAAUUUGAAUUCUCACCAUAUAUGGUAAGAAUUCAAAUUCCACCCUACUGUAGCGACUUUUUUUUUUCUUUUUUUGGUAAUUGAAAUCAAUUUUAAGAAUUAUUGUAAAAAAUAUUUUUCUUUAAUUGACAAUUUCCAUGUAAAACAAAGCUAAAUGAACAUAAAAAAAACACUUUUAUUUCAACAUUUUUCACCUGGAAAAUUAUACUAAUCAAAUGCAAUAAUUUACAAUUCACAGGAAAACAAUUCUAGGCAAUUCAAUUUCCUGGAAUUCAUUUUCUAGGCAAUUCAACUCCAUCUUUGCAAUCAAACGGACCCUAAAUUUUGUUUCAUCGAACUUUUAUUGAUAAUUAAUGUCCUCCUUCAACCAAUUGUCUUAUCCUUACCUUAAUUUCCAUGCCUCCUAUAGAUGUUCUUCAUUCUGGGAAAUCAAAAGGUCACAAGCUAACUCUUGCACUCGUUUCAAGCGUCGCUUGCAUCUGUUUACUUAUCCUAGGAUUUGGGCUGUUACUGUGGACAAGGCACAGACAUAAGAAACAAAAAUUCUUCGAUAUUAAAGGUUUAUUCGGCUAGUUCAAUUCUUUUAACUAUGAUUUCUCUACUUUUCCUUUUCUUUAACUACCUAUUACUUCAAAAUUAUAGAUGGAAAACAUGAGGCAGUUUCGCUUGGAAAUUUAAGGAUGUUCCAGUUUAGGGAACUUCAGACAGCAACCAACAACUUUAGCAGUAAAAACAUUUUGGGAAAAGGUGGAUAUGGACAUGUCUACAAGGGCUAUUUACGAGAUGGAACUGCUGUGGCUGUGAAAAGGCUGAAAGAUGGUAGUGCCAUUGGAGGAGGGAGACAAUUCCAGACAGAAGUCGAGAUGAUCAGCCUAGCUGUUCAUCGGAACCUCCUUAGGCUGUACGGAUUCUGUAUGACUCCAACAGAAAAGCUAUUGGUUUACCCUUACAUGUCCAAUGGAAGCGUUGCUUCUCGUCUCAAAGGUACACAUAUUCUAGGACUUAUCAUUACUCAGUUGUGCUUUCAGAAUCUUGAAAUUGCAAGAAGAUUAGAUUGUGCUGAAGAGUAAUAAAACAAUAUAAUGCUGAUUAGGCAUUCCAUUUAACUUGAACAGCAAAACCAGUCCUUGACUGGGGCACAAGAAGAGGAAUAGCCUUAGGUGCUGCUCGGGGACUGUUAUAUCUCCACGAGCAAUGUGAUCCAAAGAUAAUUCACAGAGACGUAAAGGCUGCAAAUAUACUCCUUGACGACUACUGUGAAGCAGUGGUAGGAGAUUUUGGGCUAGCAAAGCUUAUGGAUCAUCAAGAUUCACACGUUUCAACCGCUGUACGUGGCACAGUAGGGCAUAUAGCCCCAGAAUAUCUCUCCACUGGCCAGUCCUCUGAGAAGACAGACGUAUUUGGAUUUGGGAUCCUUCUACUUGAAUUGAUCACUGGAGAAAGAGCACUGGAAUUUGGCAAAGCAGCUAACCAAAAAGGCGCAAUGCUUGAUUGGGUGAGAGCACACAACACGAACUUGCAUUCUCUUAACAAAUUCGAUUCCAUUCUUGUGUUUUUCUUACUUUCAAGGAUGUCUAAAAUAUGCAUCAGGUGAAGAAGCUUCAUCAAGAGAAGAAACUGGACACGUUUGUCGAUAAAGAUUUGAAGAACAACUAUGAUAGGAUUGAGCUAGAGGAAAUGGUUCAAGUGGCACUUUUAUGCACACAGUAUGUUCCAAGCCACAGGCCUAAUAUGGCUGAAGUUGUCCGUAUGCUAGAAGGAGAUGGCCUUGCAGAAAGAUGGGAAGUUUCUCAAAGAUUAGACACAAACAAGUAUAAAACGCGAGAACUUUCCUCAUCGGAACGAUUUUCGGACUUAACUGAUGAUUCUUCAUUGCUUGUUCAAGCCAUAGAACUCUCUGGUCCGAGGUGAAUCAACUACACAUGUUAAUUUUGUUAAACGCAGACCACAAUUUCUCAAAGGGGAAGUUCAUAGCAAAGGCUAUAAAGAACUUUGAAUUCCUUCUUUUACAUAAUUUUUUUUUUUUUUUUGGGUUAAUGUUCUUCGGAGGAUUACGUUUGAAUUAGCUACUUGUCUGGAGACAUAUGCCCAAUAUGAUAAGCUUGUUAGUGAAAGUCGAUGCAAUAUUAUAUCGAUUUAUUCAAUAAGACAAAUUUUUAUUGCAAUUAAGAAAGUCUAAGCAA
rnacentral:lncRNA from 1 species